AAAACCCCAGGUUAAGUGGGUAAUCCCACUGAGUUUAAGCAUAUCAAUAAGUGGAGGAAAAAAAACUUACUAGGAUUCCCCUAGUAAUGGUGAGCAAACCAAGAAGAGCCCAGCUUGAGAAUCGGGUGCCUUCAGUGUCUGAAUUGUAGUCUAGAGAAGUAUCCUCAGUGGCGUACUGAUCCCAAGUCCCCUGGAAAGGGGCACUGGAGAGGGUGAGAGCCCCGUUGUGCCUGGACCUUAUCACACCAUGAAGUGCUAUCUACAAGAUGGGUUGUUUGGGAAUGUAGCCCCAAUCAAGCGAUAAAUUCCAUCCAAGGCUGAAUACGAGUGAAAGACCAAUAGCAAACAAGUACCACAUCUAAAAGAUGAAAAAUACUUUGAAAAGAGAGUCAAAGAAUGCUUGAAAUUGUCAAAAGGGAAAUGGUUAGGGUUCAACGAUGUGCCUUGGUCAGAUGUGGAAUGGUGAGAGCUAGUCCAUCGAUCAGCUUGAGGCAUGGACCAACGCGGGUUGUGGUGGCGGCCAAAACCCAGGCUUUUGAUAUGCCUGCGGAGAUGUCAUCACUAUGAUUGUGGAAUGUAGCACGCACCAUCUUGAUGUUCCUCGACACUAGCAUGCUCCUAAAGUUAGCUUGCGAGCUCUCUAUCUAACCCAUCUUCAAACAUAGACCAAGGAGUUUGACAUAUGUGCAAGUAACAGGCUAGAAAACUUGUAAGACAUAAGGAAGCUAAUUCGUCAGAUCCCUCACGGGUGCACCACAGAUUGACCUUGAUCUUUUAAGAAGGGUUUGAGUGUGAGCAUGCUUGUCGGGACUCGAAAGAUGGUGAACUAUGCCUGAGUGGGGUAAAGCCAGAGAAUACUCUGAUGAAUGCCUAUAGUGAUACUGAUAUGCAAAUCAUUCAUCUGAGUUGGUUAUAGGGGUGAAAGACUAAUCGAACCAUCUAAAAGCUAGUUCCCUCUGAAGUUUCCCUCAAGAUAGCUGGAGCCUUUAGCAAGUUUUACUAGGUAAAGCCAAUGAUUAAUGGUAUUGGGGGUGCAACACCCUUGACCUAUUCUCAAACUCUUAAAAAGUAGGAUGGUGUGACUGCUUCAUUGACCUACACCACAGAAUCGAGAGCUUCAAGUGGGCUAAUUUAGGUAAGUAAAACUGGUGAUGUAGAAUGAAUCAAAAGUUGGGUUAUGGUGCCCAACUACGCGCUAACCUAGAACCCACAAAGGGUGUUGGUUGAUUAAGAUAGCAGGACGAUGGUCACAGAAGUCAAAAUCAGCUAAGAAGUGUGUAACAACUCACCUGCCAAAUCAACUAGCCCCGAAAAUGGAUGGCGUUUUAGCACACAACCUAUACCCAAAUGUCAGGGCAAUGGCCAGGCCCCAAUGAGUUGAAGGGCAUGAUGAUCAUUGCAUAACUCAAGGCGCAAGCGCAAGUAGAGUGGCCAUCAAUGCAGAUCUUGAUGAUAGUAGCAAAAUAUUCAAGUGAGAGCUUUGAAGGCUAAAGAGAGGAAAGGUUUCAUGUGAAUAGCACUUGCACAUAAGUUAGUCGAUCCUAAAAGACGGGGGAAGCCCAUCCGAUAACAUGUCUAGUAUGAGCUUCAAAAGGGAAUCGAGUUAAAAUUCUUGAAUCGAGAUACAAUAGCUGAUGACAACAUUAGAGAGUCUAGAGACAUCAACAAGGAUCUUGGGAAGAGUUAUCCUUUUUGUUUAGUAACCUGCCCACCCUAGAUACAGCUCAGCUGAAGGUAGGAUCCAGUGGCCAGAAGGGCAUCACAUGUCACAUGGUGUCUAGUGUACCCCUAAUAGCCCUUGAAAAUCUAGAGGAUCGAGUGCCAUCCAUACCCAGUCAUAUCAUAACCACAUCAAGUCUCCAAGGUGAAUAGCCUUUGGUCAAUAGAACAAUGUAGGCAAAAAAAGUUGCCAAAAUGAAUCAAUAACCUUGAGAAAAAGGAUUGGCUUUGAGGGUUAGGCACAGAUGUCCUAGUCUAGAACCUAUUCGCUACCGUGCACUACUUGAGCUACUCCUGUGGUGAAAGUAUGUCAUCACAUGUUAGCCAAGGGACAAACUGGGAAUGGCUCCCUCAAGGGCCUUCUAUGUGUGACGAAUAGUCGACUCAAAACUGGUAUGGAUAGUGGAAUCUGACUAUUUAAUUAAAACAAAGCAUUGUGAUGAUCCUUGCAAUUGCUCAUGCAAUAUGAUUUCUGCCUAAUGCACUAAAUGUCAAAGUGAAGAAAUUCGACCAAGUGUGGGUAAACGAUGGGAGUAAUUAUGACUCUUUUAAGGUAGCCAAAUGCUUCAUCAUCUAAUUAAUGAUGCACAUAAAUGGAUUAACAAGAUUCCCAUGCCCUUGUCUAUUAUCCAGCAAACCAUAGCCAAGGGAAUGGGCUUUGUAGAAUCAGCAAGGAAAUAAGACCUUGUUAAGCUUGACUUUAGUUUGACUUUGUGAAAUGACUUGAGAGGUCUAGGAUAACUGGGUGCCCUUCAGCGAAAUUGAAAUACCACUACUUUUAAAGUUAUUUUACUUAUUUCGUGAAUCGAAGUGAGGCAUGACCCAAGGUUAGCCUCGAUCAGUCAAUCUGGGCAGAAGACAUUGUUAGGUGGGAAGUUUGGUUGGGGUGGCGCAUCUGUUAAAAGAUAACGUAGGUGUCCUAAGAUGAGCUUAAUGAGAACAAAAAUCUCAUAUGGAACAAAAAGGUAAAAGCUUGUUUGAUGCUAAUUUCCAGUAUGAAUACAAACCAUGAAAACGUGACCUAUCGAUUCUUUAGGCCUUCAAAAUUUAAAGCUAGAGGUGUCAGAAAAGUUACCACAAGGAUAACUAGCUUGUUGCAGCCAAGCAUUCAUAGCAACAUUACUUUUUGAACCUUUGAUGUUGGCUCUUCCUAUCAUUGUGAAUUAGAAUUCACCAAGAGUUGGACCCACCAAUAAGGAACAUGAGCUGGGUUUAGACCAUCAUGAGACAAGUUAGUUUUACCCUACUAAUGGCAACAUCAUAAUAGUAAUUUAACCUAGUAUGAAAAGAACCGUUGAUUCACACAAUUGGUCAUCAUGCUUGGUUGAAAAGCCAAUGGUGCGAAGCUACCAUGCACAAUAUUAUGAUUGAAUGCCUCUAAGUCAGAAUCUAGGCUAGAAGUGAUGCACACUCCCAUUGUCUAGUUACCAACCUGCUGUAGGGGCCCAUGCCCCCCAUGGGCACAUGUCAUAGGUGCAACCCCUACAACGAACAAGCCACGUGG
rnacentral:rRNA from 1 species